rnacentral:rRNA from 1 species
AACGAACGCUAGCGGGAUGCUUCAAACAUGCAAGUCGUACGUGAAAGCCCUUCGGGGUGAGUAGAGUGGCGCACGGGUGAGUAACACGUAGCUAACGUACCCCCUCGCUGGGGACAACUUCGGGAAACCGAAGCUAAUACCGAAUGAUCUAUUAGGUUCUGCGGAACUUACUGGUAAAGCCUUCGGGCGCGAGGGGAUCGGGCUGCGGCGCAUUAGCUUGAUGGUGGGGUAACGGCCUACCAUGGCGACGAUGCGUAGCUGGUCUGAGAGGAUGAUCAGUCACACUGGAACUGGAACACGGUCCAGACUCCCACGGGAGGCAGCAGUUGGGAAUAUUGGACAAUGGGGGAAACCCUGAUCCAGCAAUCCCGCGUGAGGGAUGAAGGCCUUCGGGUCGUAAACCUCUUUCGACAGGGAAGAAAGGCAACUUGACGGUACCUGUAGAAGAAGCACCGGCUAACUACG